CCUACGGGAGGCAGCAGUGAGGAAUAUUGGUCAAUGGACGCAAGUCUGAACCAGCCAUGCCGCGUGCAGGAAGACGGCUCUAUGAGUUGUAAACUGCUUUUGUACGAGGGUAAACGCAGAUACGCGUAUCUGUCUGAAAGUAUCGUACGAAUAAGGAUCGGCUAACUCCGUGCCAGCAGCCGCGGGAAUACGGAGGAUUCAAGCGUUAUCCGGAUUUAUUGGGUUUAAAGGGUUCGUAGGCGGUCGGAUAAGUUAGAGGUGAAAUCCCGAGGCUCAACUUCGGAAUUGCCUCUGAUACUGUUCGGCGAGAGAGUAGGUGCGGUAGGCGGAAUGUAUGGUGUGGCGGUGAAAUGCUUAGAGAUCAUACAGAACACCGAUUGCGAAGGCAGCAUACCGGCGCUCAACUGACGCUCAUGCACGAAAGCGUGGGUAUCGAACAGGAUUAGAUACCCUAGUAGUC
rnacentral:rRNA from 1 species